GUAAAAUCUCAUUGUCACAGUAGUUAAAAGCGCGCCCUAGGCAGGAGGCGCAAAUAGGCGAGGGGUGCAGCACCUCAUCAUAGGCGAGGCGAAGGGUGUAGAGAGUCGCAGGGAGGCGCUACGAGGCGCACUGAUGCGCCAGGCAACAUGAGUCGUGCCUGGAACUUUUCGAACCUGUUAAAUAAAGAAAUAGCUAGAGCAAAACAAGCCCUAACCCUAUUCGAUUCGAACCAACAAGAGAGCCAACACGAAACCCUUCUUCGACUCUUCGAAGCCCCAUGACCCUUUGCAAGUUCGUCUUCGACCCUUAGAACCAGCAGGAGAUUCGUGAGUUCGUCUCCCACACUUCGAACCAGCAGGAGCCCUUCGCAAGUUCGUCAGGAGCUUCGUGAGUUCGUCAUCGACCCUUCGAACCAACGAGAGCUUCGUGAGUCUCCCCCACUACAAACCAGCACGAGCCCUUCGCGAGUUCGUCAGGAGCUUCGUGAGUUUGUCUACAACAUUUCGAACCAACAAGAGCUCUUCACAAGCUCGUCUUCGAGCCUUCGAACCCGCAGGAGCUCUUGGCCAACUUGUCUUGAGCCUUCGAACCAGCAGGAGCCCUUCGCCAACUUGUCUUCAAGCGUUCGUGAAUUCAUCUGCUUCAUCUGCUUUGAAGUUCAAGCUAGUACAAUUUUUCUACAUAAGCAACAACCCUCAAUAUUUGUGAUUGCAGAUGAAGUUUGUCUUAGGUACAAGUCUCUCUUUCACGGGCGCGCGCACACAGACAUGCUUAACUGAGAUAAAACAAUUUUCUAUAACAGUUUUGGAGGAAUCAUUGCUUAGUUGAGGGGGGAAUAUGUUCCAACAAGCUAUGGAAACAACACGCGCACACAGACAUGCUUGACUGAGAUAAAACAAUUUUCUGACAGUUUUGGAGGGAUCAUUGCCUAUUUGAGGGGGGAACAUGUUCCAACAAGCUAUGCUGCUAUGGAAACAACAAACACAUCUGUCGCCCCUGAUUGUUACUAAUUUCACCGAAUGAUUCCUGGUGGCUUGCUAUUGGCUGUCGCAUGGGUGCACACACAGACAAGCUGGACUGAGAUAAAACAAUUUUCUAUGACAGUUUUGGAGGAACCAUUGCCUGCUUGAGAGGGGAAGAUGCCCAGCCUGGUUGCUACUUCCAUUGCAAGCUGCGAAAACUACAGACUAGUCUGUCGCCCCCAACUAUUACUGAUCCCACCAAAUGAUUCCUAGUGGCUUGCUUCUAUCUGCACAUGUACUAUUUAUUAUAUUCCCCUGCCAUCACAACCUCAAAACCCUCCUUUUCCUCUCUUUCCCUUAUAAUUUGGUUCUCCUCCCAAUUGUAUUCACAACACUCUUUAGUACCCGUUUGGAACUCGAAAAAUAAUAAAGGGAAAGAAAAUAUGAAAGAAUC